CGGCCCCGCCGCCGGGUGGGCAGGUGCCGGUGUUUGCACCGCCUAGGCCUGGGAUGCCGCCUCCGCCUCCACAGCAGGGGCAGAACCAGCAGCAGCAACAGUAGGGGAUUCUUUUGUUUGGUGACGGUGCGGAUGGCUUUGGAGUUGAUUGCAAGCAAUGAGGAAUAUUCUAGCCUGUUUCUGAUACUGUGGACUGUUGGAUGUUGUUAGGACGUUGGUCCAUUUCUUGAGUUGGGCACUUUUUAGACAUUUUAUGACAUAUUUAGCAUGUUGGAGCUUGAAUUUUUAAUUACAGUUAACUAGUUUCGACCUGCUGCUGUUCUUUA